UGUUUGUUGUGUUUCUAUGACCGGGACAUUUUGGGAGAACAUCCAUUAUUUUGGAUCUUCUUUUAUUAUGUGUCCAUAGCUCCAGCUCUUCUAAGAACCUUCUUCCUAUAUCAUUCCCAUAAAGAGACAAAUAUAGAAUCUUAAGGUGCUUCUAAAAUACAGAGGAUAAGGACAAACAUCCAAUAGAGAUUUUAAUAAAAGAGAGGUAGUUUAUGAAGUUGGAUUCAAACCAGAGACAUUGGGCAUAAUCCUGGCAAAACUUCUAUUGACUUCAGUGAGGCAGGAUUUCACUCUGUGUUCUCCCAUUCUCAAAUACAGCUAUCAAAGGUACCAAGAAAGAAUCUAUCAUGAGAGGCCACAGUGUUUUCCAGAUUUAGCUGUGAAGUGCUACAGCGCCUCAGGGAAUGUCAUACAUACCUGGAGAAAGAUGAACACAAUUGUAAUUUAUAUAUAUCACCCACAAAAAGCCUCGGCUCUCACAUAUUUCCUGGACCAUCACAGCUACAACAGCAUUUCAGUGCUACUACAAUUUAUUUUAAAUCUUUGAACUUUCUUCUAACCAUUGGAAACAACAUCAUCCCCGGACAAAAUGGCCGAAGUUCAAAUGCCAUCAGCCGUGGCAGCUUUACAGACAUUUUUUCAGGUUUUAAUCAAUUUAAUAUCUUGACCUUGAGGGUCUAUCAAGAUAAGCAGCACCUGAGCUGAGGUCGCUGAAGAUGACAUUAUUUCCCUAAGACAUAAAAGAAAUGACAAAACAAUGGGAGUCAGGCACCUAGUGCUUUUGAAAAUCCUACUACAUGCCUGUCUCCAUCUCUAGGCACCUAACAAUCUUUAAAAUCUGGCUUUAAAUCUGCAAAGCAAUCAGUCACUCAUUGGUCUUCAGUCAUGGCUGAUUUAAAGAUCUGCAGGUGCUGCAGUAAGCAAUCAAUAGGAUUUGAGGCAGAGUGGAUAGUGGCGCUGUGUAAAAAAAAAUGAAACAAUAAAUUGGGACAUGGAGCUUUAGCAAAGCAGGUGGUUUGAUAAAAAGUAUUUGGUAAAGCCUGAGGAGCUGAAGUCAAAGACUCUGCAUAUUCUAAGAAUACCCAGAGUUGCGUGCAUUUUCUGUUGUUAUUAAUAUUCUGUUUUAAGUUCCUAAUACCACUUCCUCUGAUCAUCUCUUCCCAAGCUGUUCCUCAGCUGUUCUCAGCUGUUCAGCCAGGGACAAUUUAAGAAACCAUAUUGAAAUGGGCAAUACAACCCUUUGUGAAGGAAUUAAGAACUGGAUUUUUUUUAACUGUACUGUGGUAGAGAGCCAGUGCAGAGAUUGGAGGGAAAGAUAUUGUAUUUGCACAUGUCUACACUGCUUCCAUGUUGAACCUGAGUGUACUGCUGGGACACAUGACCUUUCCACUUACCAUUUUUCUACCCCCAAGACUUUCUGUCUGGGAUGUGCUUACUCAGCAGGGGUGGGCAAAAUGUGGCCCGGGGGCUAGAUGAAGCCUGCCAGGCCAUUAAUAUCUGGCCCGUGGGGCCCCUAAAAAAUUUAGAAAAUUAAUAUUAAUCUGCCCUGAACUGCCUGUCAUGCAGCCCUCGAUGGCUUGCCGAAACUCAGUAAGCGGCCCUCUGCCCAAAAUAAUUGCCUGCCCCUGGCUUACUGGCACAGGCUCAGAACCAAACUAAUUUUGGUUCUGUCUAAUUUUUCUUAUUUGACACACACAGACUGUGAAGGGGAUGUUCUUCUGAAUAGUGUACAGCAGAGCAUUAGGACAGAUUUGCCUUUUGUGAGGAAAAAGCUAUAUGAGCUAUUCUUUAAGCAAAAUCCAAGUAGUCUGAUGUAUUGUGGUGCACGACUGAUUGCGAAGCAGAAGAAUGGUGGGGAAAGCACAGAGUGAAGGGAAAAGACUGCUUGCCUCAAUCUACAGAUCCUGCCAUUUAUUUCCCUACUUUUUAAAAAUUCUCAAAGCAGUGCAUGCUUCCUUCAGCAAAUAAAUCCUCUCUGUUUUAAAGGUAUCCUUAUACUUUCCAGAACCAAGUUAGUUGUUCCCUGUUGAAGGUUUUGCAGCUGUGAUUAUGGAAAUAAAUCUGUACUACAUUUUUAGCCCAGUGGCCCAUUGCAGCUUGCUUCAGGUUCUUAGCUCACAAGAAUAACGACAGUCAUUUUAUGAGAAUGAGCGAUUAUAAAUCACAUACUUUGUCAGCUCAAUGCUUUUCUCUAGCAGUAGAGUAUCUGAGACAGCUGGUCCUGUAGGACUAGUUCACUACUCACUUCUUGGAGCUCUGCUCACUUUUUGUUUGUUUUACCUGAAUUUAAGUCAGCUUUAGCAGCUUCCAGUCUCAGCCAUUUUGGGGGACAACGUUAAAAAAAAAAAAAAAAAAAGUUGGGGGGGUUAUAAACAAAUUGUCCACUGUCCAGUAUAACAUGUAUUUUCAACACUGAGUUUAUGUCAUACAUUUCUGAUGAAAAAAUAAUAUAAUUUUUUGUUUUCCUUAACUAA